rnacentral:rRNA from 1 species
UGGGGAAUUUUCCGCAAUGGGCGAAAGCCUGACGGAGCAAUACCGCGUGAGGGAGGAAGGCUCUUGGGUUGUAAACCUCUUUUCUGGGGGAAGAAGUCCUGACGGUACCCCAGGAAUCAGCAUCGGCUAACUCCGUGCCAGCAGCCGCGGUAAUACGGAGGAUGCAAGCGUUAUCCGGAAUUAUUGGGCGUAAAGCGUCCGCAGGUGGAGCGUCAAGUCUGCUGUCAAAGACCGGAGCUUAACUCCGGGCAGGCAGUGGAAACUGGCGAACUAGAGUACGGUAGGGGUAGAGGGAAUUCCCAGUGUAGCGGUGAAAUGCGUAGAGAUUGGGAAGAACACCGGUGGCGAAAGCGCUCUACUAGGCCGUAACUGACACUGAGAGACGAAAGCUAAGGGAGCGAAUGGGAUUAGAUACCCCCGUAGUCC